CCUACGGGUGGCAGCAGUGAGGAAUAUUGGUCAAUGGACGAGAGUCUGAACCAGCCAAGUAGCGUGAAGGAUGACUGCCCUAUGGGUUGUAAACUUCUUUUAUAUGGGAAUAAAAUGUUCCAAGUGGGGGAUUUUGUAUGUACCAUAUGAAUAAGGAACGGCUAACUCCGUGCCAGCAGCCGCGGUAAUACGGAGGAUCCGAGCGUUAUCCGGAUUUAUUGGGCUUAAAGGGAGCGUAGGUGGCUUGUUAAGUCAGUUGUGAAAGUUUGCGGCUCAACCGUAAAAUUGCAGUUGAAACUGGCAGUCUUGAGUACAGUAGAGGUGGGCGGAAUUCGUGGUGUAGCGGUGAAAUGCUUAGAUAUCACGAAGAACUCCGAUUGCGAAGGCAGUUCACUGGACUGCAACUGACACUGAGGCUCGAAAGUGUGGGUAUCAAACAGGAUUAGAUACCCCUGUAGUC
rnacentral:rRNA from 1 species